UCCACCUUCAAGUCAUUUCCAAGGAGGCCCUGGGGCCCCAGGCAGCAGACACAGAAAAAGCCUGCUGCAAAGAAGGUUCACAAGUGACAUCACGACAGCCUUGGAAGCCAGGAGGAACGAGUGGUGCAUAUUUAAUUUGAUGUGGGGGGCAGCCACUGAAGGUUUCUAAGCAGGAAAAUGACAUAACCCAAAUCGGGGUUUAAGGAUGGAAAGACCAAGACUGUCGAGGAGGGAACAGCACUGCGAGACCCUCCCUGAGGACCAGGCUGGCUGAGUUCCACCUGCAGCUCUGUCAGUGCUGGUUAUGGCUGUCACCUGAGCGGUGCCCACGUGGGGACUGUGCAUCCUGUCCCACUCCCGUCUGUUCCCACCUACCUGGGCCCUGCCCCCUUUCUCCCCAACGCAGCUCCCUGCCGUACUUCACCGUGGCUGAUUCUCACAUCCCAGGUGCCUGACCAUCAGUCCUGAGAUCUUCAUGUCCUAAGAAGCCUCCCAGUCUUCACACAGACAAAGCUCACGCCCCUCCUGAUGGCCCAGGAGAACCUCAAGCUCAUGUCAACGACUCCCCUUUCCAGUCCAGUCAGGACCUUUGGCACCGUAAUGCUCCAAGCCUGGUCAGAGGCUGUCAGGAUGGAUAGGCAGGGGAGGUAGAUGUGAAUGCUGUUCUGUAGCUCUUCUUCACUUGGCAAUAAAUGAGAGGUUUCUUUCCAUGCCAGUACAUAGAAAGUGACCUACAUGUUUUUAGAGGGUGAACGGUUUUCUUCUAUGUGCAUGUACCAUAAUUUAACCUGUCCUCUACUGACAGACAUUCAGCUUAUUUCCAGUUUUUCUCUAUUUUAAAAAAAGUGCAACAUGAGAAUCAUUUGAACCCAGGAGGCGGAGGUUGCAGUGAGCUG
rnacentral:lncRNA from 1 species